UGCGCCUGGCCUAAGGUCACAAUCUUAAGUAAAAUAGGCCAGGCACAGAAAGACAAAUCCCACAUGCUCUCACUCAUAUGUGGAGUGUGAAAUAGUGGAGCUUAGAAGCAGAAAGUGGGGCAGUUGCUCCCAGGGGUGGGCGGGGCGGGGUGGCCAGAUGUUGGCGGAAGGCCACAAAGUUUCAGUUGAGGAGUGGGUGCAAUAUCUAUGGGACACAAAGUUUCAGUUGAGGAGUCAGUGCAAGAUCUAUGGGACACAAAGUUUCAGUUGAGGAGUCGGUGCCAAGAUCUAUGGGACACCCAGCGACUUGAGUGAAUAAAGGCACUGUGCUCUUGAAAAUUUCCGAGAGAGUCUUUCUCAUCACCACAAAGAGCCAGCCGGGAGUGCAGGAGGGAGAACUUUCCUGUGGACGUCCUGUGUUCUCCAGACGCAGAGAACCCUCAUCAACCGAGGGGGAGGUCACUUCCGAAUCCACAGAUGGCGUGUGAGUGCAUGGCGAGCGCCUCCAGGACACACUUACUGUUCCCUUGCUCUGGCCAGACGCCAGCCGGACCCUGUGUGUGCGCGCCGUGCUGCUCUUUGCAGCUGCCUGCAAGGGGUUCCUGCGAAGACCAGCACCUUGGGGAAGAGCCUGCGGCUGAACUUGAACUCGCAGCUACCUGAGUCAGACCUGUGCUUUUUCACCUCUACGGAAGAUGUCAGAGCGUUUCCCUAGCAAUGUUUUAGAAGUUACUUCUGUCUGGAAAAAAAUGGAAAAAAUGGCAAAUUAUGUUAUGUAUAAUUUGAUAAUUUUAAAGAAUUAAUGAUGUAAUUAUUACUCAAACCC
rnacentral:lncRNA from 1 species